GCAGUCGUGGCCGAGUGGUUAAGGCGAUGAACGAGAAAUCCAUUGGGGUCUUCCCGCACAGGUUCGAAUCCUGUCGACUGCG
rfam:Ixodes scapularis strain Wikel colony gcontig_1108379504556, whole genome shotgun sequence.